GAUGAAGAACGCAGCGAAAUGCGAUAAGUAAUGUGAAUUGCAGAAUUCAGUGAAUCAUCGAAUCUUUGAACGCAUCUUGCGCUCCUUGGUAUUCUGAGGAGCAUGCCUGUUUGAGUGUCAUUAAAUUCUCAACUACACUGACUUUGAAUUGGUGUGGCUUGGAUUUGGGGGGAAAAUUGUUGUGGGCUUUUUGUAUAGUCUGCUCCCCUGAAAUUGAUUAGCGGUACCUUUGUGGAACUGUCUACAGGUGUGAUAAUUAUCUACAUCUUAGACAUCUGCUGGAAUGCUGCUCUCUAAACCUUACUUGUAUUGACAAUCUUGACCUCAAAUCAGGUAGGACUACCCGCUGAAUUUAAGCAUAUCAAUAAGCGGAGGA
rnacentral:misc_RNA from 1 species